rnacentral:rRNA from 1 species
GUCUACGGCCAUGCCACCCUGAACAAGCCCGAUCCCGUCUGAUCUCGGAAGCUAAGCAGGGUUGGGCCUGGUUAGUACUUGGAUGGGAGACCACUUGGGAAGACCAGGUGCUGUAGGCG